UUUUAGCUCUCAGGACAUCUUUUGCACACACACAUCCCACCUGCUCUUAACCCCAUAUGGUUCCAGGUUCCACUUGGACUGAGCACCAUGAGAAAAGGAGCAUCUGGUGUAGCAACAGAUUUGAAGGUGACCUCCAUUGAGCCCUAAGAGAGAUAACAGUCUCUCUGCAAUCAACAAGCCUGGCUCCUCUGGAUACUAAAACAGCAACUGUGGAGUAAAUCUGCCCCCAUCCCCACCUCCUUCCUUCUCUUUUUCUUCAGGACAACACAAAGAAACUCUACGGGAAGUAUAUGCUUUGAUGGUGGUAAACCCUGAGUGGCUCCUACAACAGGAUUGAGAAGGGUAAUUUUGCAGGAGCUGUCCUCAGGGCUGGAUGAACUCCCUGGCCCUGCAGAAGAAACCACUGUCUGAUGCCUGUCUGCCUGCUUCCCAGUGGUCGCAGCUACUUGAAGAGGUGCCAUGUGGACUAGUCUUUCACCAGCCACCGUGGACUCUGGCAGAAGGUGCCAUCAUUACUGUUAAGAACUGCAUUUAG
rnacentral:lncRNA from 1 species